rnacentral:lncRNA from 1 species
CGCAAAUGUGUACGUGUGUGUGCACGCGUAAGUGUUGCAGUGGGUAUCCGGCCGGCAAAAGGAGCAGCAAAUGGACAGAUCACGGCUCUGCUUUUAUCUGAUCAUACACUAAACUUCUGCUUCUGAUUUUGUUGAACAAGAAGGAGACUCCAGAAGCAUUCUGGGGACCAGCCCUUCGGAGUGACCAGUUGCCUGCAGAAGGGGCCAAGCACUAUACUGAGCAUGUGACGUUCAAGAAGAGGUGGACAGCUCACACCUCAGGGAUCCGAGUCCUUCCUGCCCCUCAGCCCACUGCACUCAUGGGGACAGCUCCCUCCACGACCCAGCGGGUGUCUCCUCUCCGUGGCCCUCCUCAUCUGUACCAGGUGUGAUGGAGACGUUAUGGCCGACAUUUAAAUGAAGAAACUGGAUACAGUAGCAGGUACAUCGGCAUUCCUCCCCCUAGCUUCAGACGCGCUCCUCCGGCAUCCCUCCACGUCCUGAAGCAGUUCUGGAGCCCUCUUUCCUGAGGGUCUUUAUGGGUUAUAAUCGAGAAAACAAAACAGAGACGUGAUGGGUGAUUCUGACGAGUGCUAUCCGAAGGAAGGUUAGGCUCCUAAACACAAGACGAUCAGUGACUUCAUCCACCUUAUUUAUUCUCUCUGGAACCGUAUGACGUCUGGCUCUUCUCCAAAGUCAGAAUGACCAUGAAAGGGAAAUGUUUUGAAUCGAGUCAGGACCUGGAAGCAACCAGGACAGUGCCACUGAAGACACUCACAAAAGAGGGCUUCCAGAAAGUGGCGGAAUGACGGGCUAAGGGUGUUUGAAGGGUGGAGGGGGAUCUUGAGGGGAC